rnacentral:rRNA from 1 species
AACGAACGCUGGCGGCAUGCCUAACACAUGCAAGUCGAACGAGACCUUCGGGUCUAGUGGCGCACGGGUGCGUACCGCGUGGGAACCUGCCCUUAGGUUCGCAAUAACUCCCCGAAAGGGAUCCUAAUACCGGAUAAUGUCUUAGGACCAAGGAUUUUUCGCUUUGGGAUGGGCGCGCGUUAGAUUGGCUGGUUGGUAGGGUAAAAGCAUGCCAAGGCGUCGAUGCAUAGCUGGUCGGUGAGGAGGACAAGCCACACUUGCACUGCGGCCCGGCCCAGAGUCGUACGGGGGGGAGGGGUGGGGAGUACUGGGCGCGGGGCGAAAGCCUGAUCCAGCCGCGUCGGGUAUGUGAUGAAGGCCGUAGGGUUGUAAAGCUCUUUUACCCGGGAUGAUAAUGACAGUACCGGGUGAAUAAGCACCGGCUAACUACGUG